rnacentral:rRNA from 1 species
UACGUAGGGUGCAAGCGUUAAUCGGAAUUACUGGGCGUAAAGCGUGCGCAGGCGGUUGUGCAAGACCGAUGUGAAAUCCCCGAGCUCAACCUGGGAAUGGCAUUGGUGACUGUACGGCUAGAGUGUGUCAGAGGGGGGUAGAAUUCCACGUGUAGCAGUGAAAUGCGUAGAGAUGUGGAGGAAUACCGAUGGCGAAGGCAGCCCCCUGGGAUAACACUGACGCUCAUGCACGAAAGCGUGGGGAGCAAACAGG